UUUAGGACCGGGCGGGGAGUGUGCUUCCGACAAACUUGAGCGCAACUAGCUCGUUUAGAAAGUAAAAACUCACAUGUUCCGUCCGCGGUUGCUUCUCGAUCCCAAUCAUGCGGUGAAUCCGAAAUUAUGACAUUGGACGAUUAAAGGAAAAGAAAUCCGCACCGUCCAAAGAAUAUAUUCAACCGACUGUGAAGAAGUCUCUGGUUGCUAGCAAGUUAGCUAGCUACGCGAAGACUGUUGUUUGAGGCAUGGAUUUGGAGCGACAGAAGCGGAAGGAGGACAUUCAGAAAGCCCUGGGGUUCAUACAGUCAUCUUUGCCUUUCCCAGAUCCAGAAACUUAUGAGCUGUUUCUCACCCAGUUGGUGUGUAACCUGCUGGAUGAGGGGAACGUGGUGUUUCGGGACGGGGACUUCAGGCAGGGGGCGGUGCAUUACAGCGAGGGGGUGAGCGUGGCACGCUACGCGCAGACUGAGGCGCUGGUCAUACCGCCGGUCCUGCUGGAGAGCCUGUACGUCAACAGGGCCGCAGCGCACUAUAACAUCGGGGAGUAUGAGCGUGGCGUGCAGGACUGCGACAGCGCGCUGGCCGUGUGCGAGGGCAGCCGUAAGGCGCUGUACAGGAAGGCCCUGUGUCUGCGGGAGCUGGGCCGGCUGAAGGAGGCCUACGAGUGCAGCACGGGCUGCCUGCUCAUCACCCCUCACGACCGACAAGUGAGUGAUCUAGCCCAGGAUCUGGCCAAUAAACUGGGGCUUAAGAUCCGCAAAGCCUACGUCAGCCCGCAGACCGAGUCUGCCACGGCCGUCGGAGAAAGCAACGGGGACACGGCGCCCCCUACAGCUGAGAUGACUGCUAAUGGGCUGGAAUCCUUAAAUGGCAUUUCAACAGCAGACUCGAGCAGUGCCCAGUGCAUCCCCGCCCCUCUGGCCACUCCCAUUCCCGUCAGCGACGAGCAGUCGCCCCCUGCCCUGGCCCCCCAGGACCUCCCGGAAAGCCCGAGCCAGGGCCUGCCCCGGGUGCCGUACUCCGUGCCCGUGUCCGAGCACCUGGCGGAGUGCGAGGUCAUGAGCGGCCAGAUGGACGGCCUGCUGGACUGCAUCCCCAAGGGGGCGGAGGUCAGCGUGCCUUCGGUGCAGGGUGCCAUCCCCACCAACCUGCCCAACACGGCGGUGGGCCUGCGCUCGCCCUACGUGUCCAGCCUGCCCUCCUCCCCGUCGCCGCUGCCGUCGGCCCUGUUCUCCAGCUCCGUGGUGGGCCAGCUCUCCUCGCCGGAGUCCUUCAGCGGCCGGGCCGCGGCCGACGCCUCCGCGCAGGCGCUGGACGUCGACCCGUACUGCCCCGGGGCGGGCACGGCGUGCCUGGGCGGCGUCGGCGGCCUGGAGUCCCUGUCCGAGUUCACCAUGCCGGGAGGAAGGAUUUCUCACAACUUCAUCCCUGGCCUUCGCAAUCACAACUCCUCCCACACUAGCAGCCCCGUGGGCACCAACCUCUCCCUGCUCUCUCGAAACCCCCUGGCGGCCACUCACGAGUUCCGGCAGGCGUGCCACGCCUGCUACAGCCGCGUAGGUCCGCGGGUCAUGGACUAUCAGUACCAGCCGGACGCUGCGCACCGCUGCAAGCGGGACGUGUUGCUGUGUCGGCUCAAAGGGCAGGAGGACACCUCCUGGAAGAGGAUCCGGCCCCGGCCCGCCCGCAACAACUUCCUGGGAGCUUUCGUGCUCUGCAAGGAGGUGCAGGAGAGGCAGGAGUGCAAGUACGGGGAGAACUGUACCUUCGCGUACUGCCAGGAGGAGAUCGACGUGUGGACUCAGGAGAGGAAGGGGGCGCUGAGCCGGGAGCUGCUGUUCGACCCGCUGGGCAGCACCGAGAGACGGGCACUCAGUGUCACACGCCUGCUGCAGCUACACAUGGGCAUGUUCAUGUUCCUCUGUGAGGAGUGUUUUGACAGUAAGCCUCGCAUCAUCAGUAAGCGCAGCAAGGAGAACCUGGCCGUCUGCUCCAACCUCACCGCCCGCCAUCCCUUCGACGACAACAAGUGCCUGGUGCACGUGGUGAGGUCGGCCAACGUGCGCUACAGUAAGGUGCGGCCGCUGCACCCGCUGUGCCAGUUUGACGUGUGCCGGCACGAGGUGCGGUACGGCUGCCAGCGCGAGGACAGCUGCUCCUUCGCCCACUCCGUCAUCGAGCUCAAGUGCUGGGUGCUGCAGCAGGACACGGGUAUCACCCAUGAGGAGAUGGUUCAGGAGUCUAAGAGACACUGGCACAGGCUGGAGCAGAACGCACAGAGGCAGAAGGGCCACCAGCCCAUUCACAUGCCGCACCCUCACUCUGGGGGCGGUGGCGAUGUGAUGGGUGGCGGAGGGGGAGGUGGAGGAGGAGGAGGAGGAGGAGGUGGGGGAGGAAGAGCCAAGGGGCUCAACCUGAAGAUGAAGUUUGUGUGUGGGCAGUGCUGGAGGGACGGCCAGGUCAACGAGCCGGACAAAGCGCUGAAGUACUGCACCGCCAAGGCCCGGCACAGCUGGACGAAGGAGCGGCGGGUGCUGCUGGUGAAGUCGUUUGAGAAGAAGAAGUGGGUGGUGGUCCGACCGCUGCCCUUCUCCCGCACGUACCCUCAGCAGUACGACAUGUGUGUUCAUGUGAUGAAACAGAAGAAGUGUCACUAUAUUGGGAACUGCUCGUUCGCCCACAGCCUGGAGGAGAGGGACGUGUGGACGUACAUGAAGAACAACAGCUUGCGAGACAUGCAGCAAAUGUAUGACAUGUGGCUGGCGUUGACCAAUCAGAACCGACGGCCAGAUGGCACCUUGCUAACGCCGCCUCCAGAGGAGAAACCAAUCGCCAUGCCGACCGACUAUGCUGAGCCAAUGGUGAGUGGCUGGCCAACGUUGUCAUGGUACCAGGGCCAAAUGCCAUGGUGACGCACAUUGUCCUGACCCGUGAGAUCGGAGCCCGGCGUGGCGGUCGCGCGCCGGCUUUCCGGUACGUAGUGCAGUGGCCCCCUCCCCACCCGGGGCCUGGAUAUCCAUGAACCACGCUGCCCUGAGUCAUCUGUUCCUUCAGGAGCGGGGCCGUCUGUGGUCUCUGGCACUCCGUGUCAUUUACUCAUUAACUCUGUGGGUGACUGAUGCUGUAAUGCCAGCCGUGGGCCCAAUACUCGGCCUGUUAGAGCCCCCCUCCUCAGGCUCUGACGUUUGCAUUUAGGCAUUUUGCAGAUGCUCUUAUCCAGAGCCACUUACGAACGAGUACACGUGGCAGACUGAGACAACGGAUUGCGUGAUGGACGUAUCUGAGCCAACCGCAGUGCUGGGCAGCGGCUGUCUGGAGGGGGUGAGCAGUGACUACGCCCACAGUGAGGAUGAGCUGGUGGAGUGGCAGGAGAGGAGGGACUUCCUGCGGAGGAAAUUGGCUGAGGCCCGUGAAGACGCGCUUGUUGCUCCCCUUCCCACCUCCCCCCCAUCCCCCCCAACCCCCCGAACGACUGCAACUUUGGGAAGUACAGCUUCCUCCCACUGGACCGCGGCGUCACCCGACGGGCACUCGAACACAGAUCGAUGGACACUGCGUUUGGUCACGUACGCACACAGGCACACUGGUAACUGAGGCCACACAGGAGGGCGGCGUGGGGACAGGGUGUGCGGCGCCGCACUUCUGCAUUCAGAGCAGUUCAUUUUCACUAGAGCCGAUUUCUCAUUGUGCUUACCUCAGCCCUCCCCUCAGCGCAGGUCACUCAAAAGUAGACCAAAUAUUUACCUGGAGAAAUUCUCAGCCGUCAAUCGGCCCUCCAAAUAUGGGCGCAGUAAGCAAAGCCACUCCCCUCCUUUCCCAGCAGGUGCUCCCAUUUUUAUUUUAUUUUUCUCCCUUUUUUAGAAAUACCAAAAUAUGCAUCACUCCUUCACUUGCGCACUUUCUGCCUGCGAGCACAGCCCAGCGCAGGCAGGCCGCUGUGCUCUGUUCGUCCAGAGGGAGUCGCUGUUGCACAAUCAUGUGGGGAAUAACCUGCUCCCUCCAUCCCUCCCUCCCUCCCUCUGUGAUGCUACAGCCAGCCGUGUGCUCUGGGUUUCGCACAGUCAGGAUAAGACACUGAAACCAUGACUGUGCGGAGCGCUCGUACUUCAGUCCAGUACGCCAUCAGAAGUUCCUCGGUUCUAGUGCUUGUCCAGUCAUGUGACUCGUACCUGCUUUAUGUAUGUGUGGCUGCACUAGGAAUUUGGAAGGAACAAAUCAUCAUGGCUGUAGCAAAGUAUUUGCUGGUGAACUGAAUGUCCUGUGACACUUAAAAGCCUCCAGGAAUAUUUAUAGAAUAUUUGGACAGUUCGCUGUUUUUCCAGUGUCACCUGUGUCCAACACAUGCACACACAAAACUAGUUGAAACUUAAGAAUGUGUAAAGUGUUGAGGGGGAGGUACACAAACACAUGAGUUAAGUGGCACGUGUGUUCAUUCAUGCCCAAACCUGUCCUGGCCUCAAUCCUCCUUUCUCAUGUUCAGCUCUCCUGCAGUUUUGUUGUGAUGUCUGAAUUGAUGUCGUGCAUCUUAGCAAGGUGACCCAAUGGGCAGCUUUGGCAGGCUGGUUCCCUUCAGUCUUUUUCACAACGCCAGUUGAAAAUGAACGGAGAGUGAGAAUCUCCGGUGCGUGCGUGUUUCACCGUUUAUCUGUUGCUUGAUAACUGUCUGAGUUUGAACGAGUGAAGAUGUGGAAGGAGGUAGAGUUGAACGUCGUGACCCUGCCUUCUCUUUGGGAAGUGAGUGCAUUUGAGCGCGGGAGGAGGAUGGGAGCAGAAGUUGUGUUUAGAUGACCGUUGGUUUAGCCUGGGGCCAGUCAACACAGGGGGGGAAACGCCCCCCCCCAGAAUUCCCUUUAAGCCCUUUAAUGAAUGAGCAGUACAGGGAAGGUCAAUGGAAGGGAUGAACAAAUUAAUGUUCGCUCUUUAUCAUGUGCCUAUAAAUAUACUGGUACACAUAAAAUAUAUAGCCCGGAUGUGUCUUGUCCAUCUUGGCAAGACCCUCUUAUAUUCCCCCACAGUGAACUUUAUAUAUACGAGUAUACAAGAUGGACACACAUAUAUACAUGCAUAUUUACAAAAUGUGUAUACUAAGAAUAAUUGAUAACUUAGCCUUUGAACUAAAUUGAAAUAUAAUCGAAUAUUGUAUUGAUUGCAUAGUAUCUCUUGUUAUUGAGCUAUGGUAUAUGACCUAUGGAUAAUUUAGAUGGCUAGCGGUUAUUAUUAUUAAUUUUCUUUGCUUCUGUGGGUGUCAUUCCAGAGAUGGUGCUAGUGGUGGAGAGCAGACUGCUUGCGCAGGUUGGGUAAAAGCACAUGACCGCUCCCGGAUGAAUGGUGAAAGGACAGAACUGAGCCGCUGAUGACUCUGUCACUGUGUCCUGCCGCAACGAGAGGCAGUCGGGUUAAUGGAGCCUCGUGAUCUGAAAAAAAUUAAAAUAAUAGUGCUCCAGUCUAGUGGUCCGUGUUUCAUAAGCUGGGGCUCUGCGCUAACAUUGUUUUCUGAAGGAGCACAAAUGCUCAUAAGAUGGAAAAAAUGCGCACUAAUGCAUCCAAAUUUGUAUAUGUGCUCCUAAAUUAUUGUUCCAGUAGCCACAUCAAUUUUCAGCAAAUGUGCGCACUGUCGAGCCCCGAGAAGCCAGUCUCUCAGCCACUGGGCGUUUACCCUGGCUAUGGUCAGCUUGGAGCGGUUUCAGAAUAUGCAGAAUAUGAACAGAUAUUGGUUUCAUUAUCUGCUGAUGAGGAAGGAUUAAUCUGGUUACUGAUGCACCGGGGAACCUGAGUGUACUGUUCCACUGAAAAGUGGGGAGAAAUUGUGUUUGAAGAAUUAAGUAUCAAUAAAUACAUUAUGUAGGUCUAUUAACACCUGCCUAGUUGUAAUCAUGUAACCGAACUCAUAAGAGCAGGAUGGCACCACCUGGAGUGACUCCUGUAAUUGCUUUAUUGGGGGAUCUUAUUGCUGUUAUUAUUAUUAUAAUUAUGAUGACUAUAUUAACAUUACAAUUUUUGUUCUCCUAUAUGCUAUCAAUAUGUAUAAGAUAAUUGCCAUGUAUAACUAAAUGUAACCAUGUAUGAAUACAAUAGUAAAUAGAUGUCUAUGUAUGCGUAUGAAAUGUAAGAGCGGGGCGGCGCAAGCGAUGAUUUUGGGUGAAUGUCUUUUCUAUACGAGCUGUCUAUCUGUACGCUCUUGUGCAGUCACGGACCUGUCGGAUAUAAGCCAGUGGCCCUUCCCGGCUAAUUUCAUAACUGCCUGAGAGGAGGCUGGUCCUGGAAAGCCAGAUCAGUGGUUGAAAUUGAACGAACUUGUCUUAAAACAGCGAAGAGUGUGGCUGCACAAUAAAUCAUUUACCUAGUGUCUAGUGCAGCACUAGUAAGAGAAGAGCUGUUUACAGUGUUGAUAGAAUCAUUUCUGUUGGAAAUUGGAAAAUGUUUCCUUUGUGUAGAUUUUGCAAAUGGCAUAUCCGCUAUGAUGUGACCGCUCAAAGCAUACAUAGAUAUCUAUGUACAACAGCAUAAUAAUACCUAAUACAACAUGCAUAUAAAUAUAUAACUAAAAUCAUAAUCCUUUCUCAAUAUAUGAUUAUAUAUACCUUAGACACAUAUAAAUGCAUAGAUAAGAGGUGAUGUGUUGUUGGUGAUUUCUGACCAUUUUUUGUGGGUGUAUUUUCAGUCCUUACUUUGUUGAUGUAACACCAAUUUUAUUGCCCACCUAAUGGUUAUCAGUUAUUUCAAGCGAAUGGCUUGUGUGCUAAUGGGUGUGUGUUGCAUUGUCUCUUAUUUCUUGUAACAGGACACCAUAGGCCACUCACUGGGCAUGCUCAGAUGGACAAAACAAGCAGUGUUAAAAUAGCUGGGUCAGCGGGCAGUGUUAAAUUAGACACCACGUCUCAAAACAGUGAUUGUAAAAGACCAGUCCCCCUGAGCAAAGGUGGAAAUCCACUUUCAGGAAGUAAAAGUCAUCCCCAGUAUUUUGUUCCAAUCACCUGUAUUUGCAACUUGGCACUUUCUUCAGCCAGGAGAUAGAACGAAGUUCAUUGGUAGAAGAAACGCGUGGCAGGACUUUUACUUUCUGACUCCUGGACUCCUCUGCUCCUGACCAACCCGGGGAUCUGGGAGAGUCGGCUCUGUGGACCUGCUGCACUCUGCCCAACCGUCUCCAGCACCUUUGGAGAUGUUAUUUUGCCUGUUGGGACAAGUGGUCUGAUAAAGAACUGAAUGUGCUAAAUAUUCUCAAAAGAGCAGCAGUUUCUCAGGUCUUUAAAAAUGGGGGUAUUGAAAAAAUAAAAGCGUAAGGAAAAACUUGCGUUGAAGUCUCCUUGAGGGUUUGAGACAGUUGCAAACCAACACACUUUAGUACCAACUUUCAGUUGUUCACCAUGUAUAUGCUAAGAUGGGUAAUUAUGUCCAACGGAUCAGAUAAUGGCUGUGAACCAGAGGUGUAAAAUUUGAAGGAGGGAAGUUUUUUUUUUUUUUUCCUUUUAUUUUUAUUUUUUUUUUCAUGAUUCUUUUUAUCUUUUCCCUCUGUGGUUGGAAGUAAAUGGAACCGUGGAACAAAUCUUAUGGAAACGUUUUUAGCAAUAAACCAGUUUUGUUUUAGAAA